AGCGAACGUUAGCGGCGGGCCUAACACAUGCAAGUCGCACGAGAAAGAGGGCUUCGGCUCUUGAGUAAAGUGGCGGACGGGUGAGUAACACGUGGGUAAUCUACCUUCCGGCGGGGGAUAACAGCCCGAAAGGGUUGCUAAUACCGCAUUCGUCGGCAGGGGCUCCGGCCCUUGCCGGGAAAGACGGCCACUUCAUGAAAGCUGUCACCGGAAGAUGAACCCGCGGCCCAUCAGCUAGUUGGCGGGGUAAUGGCCCACCAAGGCAUAGACGGGUAGCUGGUCUGAGAGGAUGAUCAGCCACACUGGGACUGAGACACGGCCCAGACUCCUACGGGAGGCAG
rnacentral:rRNA from 1 species